UCUGCUCUCUGCUAGGACCCUCACUUCAAUUCGCAGGGUCCUUGGCAUGUACUGAGCAUUGGGGGCUGUGAAAGGCAAAUGGAAAUAGCACGGAUGAGGAGGCUGGGGCUGACCCUUGGGCUCAUCCUGACCCUUUCCUGGAGCUGUUAUUUCAUCUGCAAACUGAGGGUAUUUGUUCUAGUUGGUAUCUCAGGCCUCCAGCUACUGCAUUUAUCUUUUCUGCUUCUCGUUUCCAAUUUUGCACCCUCUGCGCAUGGCCGUGCCUCAUCUUGGUCUCAUCUGCACAGUUGUUUAUAGAGUUGCCUAAAAUCCUGAGAGAGAGGUCCCCUGGUACUUCUUCCUUUAGACUCAAAUGGAGCUAAAAUUAAGAGUUUUAUGAACUAUUGAGAAUGAGGUAGUUCCUCCUAGGACCCCCCAGAGAAAGCCUAAGUCAUUACCUUUUGGGUCUCAUCCACAGAUCUUUGAUAGUGUGUCUUGGAGUCCACUCCCAAGGAGCUAAGACAGGUGUGAGGAUGGAGCCACCCCCCAUUGGGUCCUUGUCAUUGCUGGAGCCUUGCUGAGCUAGUGGUCACAUUGAGCCUGGCAUGUGCCUUCACCCCACUGGGUGGUGGCACAUGGUGGAAGAGAUAGAACCAAACCCAGCCCAGGCAAGGCCAUGGGUGUGAACCCCCCAAGGUAACCCUCCUCCAAGCUCUGUCUUGUUUAUGCCCUGCCUGGUGAGAGAUGAACCCAGAAAGUAACCAGGGCCCCUCUGCAAGCGAACCGGACACAUCCCUGGAUCCAGGCCAGAUGAAGAUCAGGGCCAGGAAGCCCAAACCCACAGGGUCCCAAGGUGGGGAGCUGAGGAUAUCUGCUGCUGGGACUCUUCUGGGUUGGAUUUUGCAUGGGAGGACUCUCCCUAUCUCCCCUGCAAGAGAAUUUUUUUCUGUUGGGGCUUUCCUGAAGGCGAGGACUCUUGUUGCAGUGAGAUAAGGUGAGAAUUACAGGACAAAAACCAACGGUCCAUUUCCCCUCACUUUCUAGAUGCUAGGGUGUAGCUCUGUCAGGAGCCUUUGUUGGGAGGUGUCUCUGGCGGGGGUGGUGGGGUUAUGAUGAUGAUUUUUGGUGUGCGGUGUUUGGGGACAUGGAUCCUUUGUGUUUGAGGAAAAUUCCUAAUGGGAUUGCAGUGUUGGUAUGUGAAGGGUCAAGGCCCAGGGGCACUCUCGUGGGGACCAUAUGACAUGGAGACCAAGGGGGAAGCACGCAGGACUGGCCCUGCUCUGCUGCCUCAUUGGUCCCCACCCUGAAGUUAAGUCACAUCCCAUGCUGGGACCUCUGUGUGCUCUCUGUCAGGUAGGGCACUUCUUUUCCAGCACCAUCUGCGGCAGACUGGCUUCCUGGCAGCUACAUGCACCCAGGAACAGACGUUCAAAGGGACACCUGCCAUCCUUGGUGACAGGGGCCCCAAAUUUGCAUCUCUUCCCUUCCCUUAGGAAGGAGAUGACCAGAGGCAUCCCCUUCUCAGACACAAGCACAUCAGCAAACCUUAUGAAAGUGGGAUUCUCUAACAAAAUAAACUUGCUUGUUUGGUCUGUUUUCUGUAACUUUUGCUAAAUACUUUAUACAUUUUUAAUGUUAAAAAGCCGUGUCUCCUGCCAGCAUCCCUCACCCCGGUAUGAAUGUGUUUACUCCACAUUGUAUAUCCUUCCAUCCUCUGGCUGCCUAGAUCAGUAAAUAAAAUUGAUGUAAUAUAAUUUAUAAGUAACACUGUUGAAACUCUGAUCCUAAUGGAGGCUGUAACCCACCCCUCCCCACCCCCUCCCACACCCCCGUAAUAGCAUUUGUGUGUAUUAAUACUGAAAAAUGUUUAAAGAGUUUAAAUUUUGAAGGCGUUUGCUAUGUAUAAUUGUCCUGCAUUAUUAUAAAGAGUUUUCAGGAAGACAAA